GAUGAACGCUGGCGGCGUGCCUAAUACAUGCAAGUCGAGCGAACAGACGAGGAGCUUGCUCCUCUGACGUUAGUGGCGGACGGGUGAGUAACACGUGGAUAACCUACCUAUAAGACUGGGAUAACUUCGGGAAACCGGAGCUAAUACCGGAUAAUAUAUUGAACCGCAUGGUUCAAUAGUGAAAGACGGUUUUGCUGUCACUUAUAGAUGGAUCCGCGCCGCAUUAGCUAGUUGGUAAGGUAACGGCUUACCAAGGCAACGAUGCGUAGCCGACCUGAGAGGGUGAUCGGCCACACUGGAACUGAGACACGGUCCAGACUCCUACGGGAGGCAGCAGUAGGGAAUCUUCCGCAAUGGGUGAAAGCUUGACGGAGCAACGCCGCGUGAGUGAUGAAGGUCUUCGGAUCGUAAAACUCUGUUAUUAGGGAAGAACAAAUGUGUAAGUAACUAUGCACGUCUUGACGGUACCUAAUCAGAAAGCCACGGCUAACUACGUG
rnacentral:rRNA from 1 species